rnacentral:rRNA from 1 species
GACGAACGCUGGCGGCGUGCUUAACACAUGCAAGUCGAACGGAAAGGCCCUGCUUGCAGGGUACUCGAGUGGCGAACGGGUGAGUAACACGUGGGUGAUCUGCCCUGCACUUCGGGAUAAGCCUGGGAAACUAGGUCUAAUACCGGAUAGGAGCCAUUUUUAGUGUGAUGGUUGGAAAGUUUUUUCGGUGUAGGAUGAGCUCGCGGCCUAUCAGCUUGUUGGUGGGGUAAUGGCCUACCAAGGCGGCGACGGGUAGCCGGCCUGAGAGGGUGGACGGCCACAUUGGGACUGGGAUACGGCCCAGACUCCUACGGGAGGCAGCAGUGGGGAAUAUUGCACAAUGGGCGCAAGCCUGAUGCAGCGACGCCGCGUGGGGGAUGACGGCCUUCGGGUUGUAAACUCCUUUCGCUAGGGACGAAGCUUUUUGUGACGGUACCUAGAUAAGAAGCACCGGCUAACUACGUG